rnacentral:rRNA from 1 species
CUUGGUCAUUUAGAGGAAGUAAAAGUCGUAACAAGGUUUCCGUAGGUGAACCUGCGGAAGGAUCAUUAACAAUUCCAAAACACGCGUCUUCAAACUGGAAGGUCCUUUAUUGGGCCCAAGGUUUGGUUUACAAGACAAAACAACAACAACAUGAACAUUAUGAUUGACAAAAAAGGGAAACCCAUCACUUAAACAGUGUUAUCACAAACAACUUUUAACAAUGGAUCUCUUGGCUCUUGCAACGAUGAAGAACGCAGCGAACUGCGAAACGUAAUGUGACCUGCACUCUUCGUGAAUCAUCCAAUCUUUGAACGCAAUUUGCACCUCGUGGCUUCUGUCACAAGGUAUACUUGUUUGAGUAUCCAACACUACGUCACCUCCCUUUCGGGGCGAGGUGGACUUGAGGCUCAUGGCGUGGUGGUGUGUGUGUGUAUGGGGAUUUAUCUCUUUCGCUGCCGCCGCCGCCGCCAUGUUCCUUUAAAUACAUUGACACUUCUGGAAAGUCUCCGAUGGAGUCUAACAGACUAUUGGGAUAACACAUCCUAACAAUCGUCUUAGGCUCAUUUCGUCGUUGAUAGACCUGGUCAACCCAGAGGCGAUGGUGAUUUUGAAGGUCCUUGGAUCUUUUGAUUGCCAAACGCUUCAUCGAGUGUGUGGUCAUCUUUCGGGAUGUGGUGGCACUCUUGUAUAAUAGAUCUCAAAUCAAGUAAGGAUACCCGCUGAACUUAAGCAUAUCAGUAAGCGGAGGAAAAGAAACUAACAAGGAUUCCCCUAGUAACGGCGAGUGAAGCGGGAAGAGCUCAAAUUUAAAAUCUGUGAUCCUUUGGGUCAUCGAAUUGUAAUUGAGAGGGUCAUCUUUUGAUGCGUUGUAUGGUCAAAGUUCUCUGGAAAGGGACAACAAAGAGGGUGAUAUUCCCGUCUGGAUCAUGCAACAAGUCAGUAUAAAGGUGGUUCUAAGAGUCGGAUUGUUUGGGAAUGCAGUCCAAAAUGGGUGGUACAUUUCAUCUAAAGCUAAAUAUUGGCAAGAGACCGAUAGCGAACAGGUACCGUGAGGGAAAGAUGAAAAGAACUUUGAAAAGAGAGUUAAAUAGUACGUGAAAUUGUUAAAAGGGAAACGAUUGAGACCAGUGAUGCAGUCUGACCUUGAGCCUUUCCUUUGGGAAGGGUGUUUGGGCAGACGCAAGUUGACGCUCCUUUUAGAUCUUGGAAAAGGCAGGAGGAAAGGUGGCUCUAUCUUCGGAUAGCUGCUUUAUAGUCCUCUUGGGAUACAAGAUCUGAGAGGAGACAGGUAGGGGUUAAACCCACGUCGACGAAAUGGUCUUAAACGACCCGUCUUGAAACACGGACC